GGCAUCCUGGCCGAGCGGUUAAGGCGAGAGAUUAAAAAAAUCUUUUGGGGUUUCCCCGCGUAGGUUUCGAAUUUCCUGCGGAUAUGUCG
rnacentral:tRNA from 1 species